UUUAAUAUAUUUUAACAUUUUAAUUAUAAUGUUUUGAAACUUUUGAAACUUUUAAACAGACUCAUGUAACAAUGGUUUUAAUAUUGGUCAUAUUUAUACUGAUUUUAAAUCAUUGUCCAAAAUAUUUAACCGAGUGUAGUUGAGUAUUAUAUGUCCGUUUUGAAAAUUCAAAUUGCAACAUAUGCAAAAAAAAAAAAAGUUAAAUUUUUAUUAAUCAUUUUUAUUAUAUAAUAUAAUAUCAUAAAUUAAAAAUAAUAUCAAAUAAAAGUUAAAGAAGAAUAAUAAUUGAUUAGUUAGAGAUUUAUUAGGAAAUCAUAAAAUUAGUUAUGGAAAUAAUAUAAUUUUAAAAUUAGAUAUGGAAAGUAUCCGAUAUAUGUAUCCGAACCCAAUUUAAUAUCCAAUUUUGAAGUAUCCAAUUGCUAAAAUCGGGUUAAUUUUUUAAUUUUGACCCGACCCAUAUUCUAUUUUGUACUUCUCUUUUACUAAUAUAGGGAUGACGACAACGUAGAAAUAGUAUAAUUGUAUAUAUAAUUGUAUAUUAUAUAUAUACUAUCAGUUAACCCGUGCUGCGCGCGGGAGUUUUAUAAUUUUUUGUUAAUUUUUUAUUCAUAUUAUGAUAUUUUAUUAUUUUUAAUUGAUUUUCAAAACAUAUUAUAGUUAUUUUCUCUUAAAUUAUUAUCUUACAAUAUUUAAAUUUGGAUUAAAAGCAUUUUCUUUUUGAUCAUGUUAUAAACUAAUAUUUCACUUUCAAUUUUAUUUUUCUCCUUUAUAAUUUUAUAGAUACAAUUACAUAAAUGUUGUUUUUAUUCUAUCAUAAAUUUAAAAUUUACUUACAUUCUUAAACUCAGUAACACAUUUAAAAUUUUAAACUAUGAUCAACUUAAAAUGAAAUUUGAAUUAUAUUAUUACCACUAACUAAUAAAAAAUGAAAAUAUUUAUUAUUUAACAUUUCAUUUAUUUACAUAAUUUAUUUUUAUUUAUAUAAAUUUUCUUUUAAUUAAUUAAGUAGCAUAAAUAUGCACUAAAUGAAUGUUUUAAAUUUAUUUUAAUGUAAAAAAAAUGUGGCUUAAGUGGAUGUUUAGGUGGCAUAAUGAGAAGAGAGAAAAAGCUAACUUUAUAUAUAUAGAUUCUAAAAGAUUAAAUUUGUAACAUUUCCUUCAAAAUUAGUUGUUUUGGUUUGGGAGAUUUAUGAAGAUGACAUGACCAUUUCUCUAAUACAGUAAGAAAACUACAUUUAUCUAACACGGAUCAUUCACAAAUCAUGGUAAAGUAGAUAAGUAAGUGUCCGGUUAAAUUUAAAAUAGUGAAAGUAGGACUAGUUCAAUCGAAUUAAAAAGUGCACAGCUAAAACUGCUGUUGACUUGUUUUUCCGGUUUAGUAUUGGAAAUUGCAAAACUAUUCAUAAAACUACAAGGACGAGUAAGACUAAUAAAACAUAAAAUCAAGACAUUAAAUAUUGACAUAUGUAAUGUCAAUCAAGUCGUAAAUGAUCAUACGGUUUGUGGUUUGUUGGGAAGAAUACAAAUUUGGAGAAACUAGGUUAUAAUAAAUCAAAAAAAAAAAAUGUUAUUUGUAUUGGUUAUGUAAGUUUGAUAGAUUAAUGAUUUUUUUUUUUUAAAUUAAAAAAAUAAGGUAAAGAAAUGAGGAGGGUGUGUGUGUGAAGAGGUGGUUGUACCGUACAUGCAUGGAGCUGGUAGAUUUGAAGAAGAGAGAAAGAGAGGUGUCGGCGUUUUGGUUACUGCAAAGUGACACCGUAACUAAUUACAGACCACAAGUCUUUGUCCCUUCGUCUUCUUAUUUUGGUUUAUAUCCUUCGAAAUACUAAUAUUUCAAACCUAUUCAUUUUAUUAUUCAUAUUCUAUCAUUAAAAUAUGUUGUCUACCAACUAGUAACGUACUUAUUUAUUCCUUUUAUUUGGGCAAAAAUAUCAAAAUACGGGACAAGACUGGAAAAUUGGAGAAGACGAAAAAAAAGAAGUCAUACGAAUGCAGUUAUAUAUAACCUUCAAGAAAUAUGUAAACUAAAAUUACAAGUGGUGUUAUAAAUUUCACCUAAGUCGAAGUGAUGAUAUUAACCACCUAAAUCUCACCUAAGUUAUAAAGAGUGAAGUUGAUAUCAUCUCUAAUUUUGAAAAGAAACAAAAAUUAAUGUAUUUCAGGUUGGACUUUGCCAUUACUGAAAUCCACCUGAUAUGGCCCAUACUACAUUUCUUAGGCUUUAAGUUGGCCCAAUUCAUAUCCCAGAUUUGAUAAUGCAAAGUCUAUGGACCCCUAUUUUUUUUUUUUUUUUGUCAACAUCAUACUACCCCUAUUAUAAUUUGUUUUACAGAAUCUUGAUAUAUUUUUGUUGGUGUUGUUGCCGAGAAGAUGGAUUAGUGAACACCUUUUUACAAGUAUCUGUGGGCGCUUCUUUUUAGAUGUUAAACACAAAAUGAUGAAGUCAAAAUCACUUUGGCUUAGUUUUCUUCUCCGUAUAGCCACCACCACCCUACUUUUCUUUAACCCCUUUUUAAUAUAUAUAUAUAUAUUAAGACCCAGUGAGAGAGUGAAUAAUUUAGUGUAAUCCUUAAAGGUUUUAGCCUCAAAAUAUUUAAGGAAAUGACGCAUAUUGGAGAUGCUGUUUUCGUGUCACUGAAAACAGCACGCUUUGCUUAUCUUUUGAUUCUCUCUUUUGUAAAGAAAGUGCAACCAAAACAUAAAAGUGACCAUUAAAAUAUUAUAAAAACAUUGAAGAAUGGGGAGAAACAAAUAGAUUUUUUUUUGUUUCAAUAUAAAUAUGAUUGGACCCAAAGUCGUACAACUCUGUAGAAACCCUCCAUACUUUUGUCACAAUGUCAAUAACUAUCACACUAUUAUAUUUUCCCCCAUAAUUUUCAUUAACUAUGUAUUUUUUUAUUUUUUUUGAAGCAAUAUAUGCUUUUGUUUUGUCUUCAGAAAAUUAAUCAGAAAACGUCGCUAUUUUGUAAAGACCAAAUUAAGGAAGACAAACAAAAAAGAGAAAGUUGUCAAAGAAAAAAAAAAAAAAAAAAAGGACCACAAGUUUAGUCUUUUGGCUACGAGUCUAGUCUUUUCCUACGGACCAAUCACCAAACAAACGGCUUAUAGCUUUAGCCACCACAGUCACAGUCACAGUCACGGACUCGCUCCAGCUCUCUCUCUCACACUAACGGUUCCAAUCGCUUAUUCUCAACCGCUUCACUCCGCGCGUGACUCCCAGUCCCCAAUGCGAUUCCUCUCGGAAAACAUUAUUUUGACCGCAUCGGUUAAACAAAACUCCUUUUUCUUUGAAGAAUAUGCAUGUUUCUGUUAUUUUUUAACAGCUCGGUAACUCUUUUUAUUUAUUUCGAUUUCAUGAUUCCCCCAAUCCAAAGCUUUUUUUGACUUGUAUGACGACUUUUUUAUAUGGUUACAAUUUAGUGAAUUAUUUUUUAAAAUAAAAAAUAAUAUAAAUGCAUUUUUAGUAUUUUUGGAUUGUUUGGUGUCAUCAAAAAUUAUAUACAUUACAUAAAUACAUAUAAUAACUUUCGUUCGGUAUAAUUUGCAUCAAAAGUUAUAUACUAGAGUAUAAAAUAAAUAAUACGAUCGCCAUAAGCACGUGAUCCACUCCACAGUCCCAACAUCUCAUCUCUCUCUCUCUCUCUCUCUCCUCGUCUCACCGGAGAUACAGCUGCUUCCCAUUUUUUUAUAUAAAAAAAAUCUUUUUGUUUUUAAUUAGAAAGAGGAGAAGCAAAAUUAAUACAUAUAUGGGAUUUGAAUUUAUUGUGACUUUGUUGUUUGCCUAAGAAAAAGCGAAAACACCAAAAAUGACACUCAACUUUUUUCUCUUCUUCUUCCUCUUCCUCUUCAUCCUCCUCCGUGUCUCCGCCGGAGCAGACCCUAAUUACUUCAACUCAUUACUUCCUUCCGAUGCCGUUGCUUUACUCUCUUUCAAAUCCACCGCCGAUCUCGACAACAAGCUUUUGUAUUCCCUCACUGAGCGUUACGACUACUGUCAGUGGCGCGGCGUCAAAUGUGCUCAAGGUCGCGUCGUUCGCCUUGUUCUCUCCGGCGUUGCUCUCCGUGGCUACUUCUCUUCCUCUACUCUCAGCCGUCUUGACCAGCUCCGAGUUCUUAGUCUCGAGAAUAACUCGCUCUUUGGUCCCGUUCCUGAUCUCUCGCCUCUCGUUAACCUCAAGUCUCUCUUCCUUAGCCGGAAUCAGUUUUCCGGUGCUUUCCCUCCCUCCAUCCUCUCUCUUCACCGGUUGAUGGUUCUCUCUCUCUCUCGCAACAACUUCUCCGGUUCGAUUCCGUCUGAGAUCAACGCUCUUGACCGCUUAACUUCAUUAAAUCUCGAGUUUAACCGGUUUAACGGAACCCUCCCGCCGAUGAAUCAGUCGUUCCUGACGUCAUUCAACGUUUCCGGUAACAAUCUCACCGGCGUCGUUCCCGUCACUCCGACUCUGUCCCGAUUCGAUGCGUCGUCGUUUAGGUCCAACCCUGGACUCUGCGGCGAGAUCAUCAACCGAGCUUGCGCUUCACGCUCGCCCUUCUUCGGAUCCACUAAUAAAACGAAGUCGUCGGAAGCUCCGUUAGGUCAAAGCGCUCAGGCGCAGAACGGCGGUGCGGUGGUAAUAUCUCCGGUGGUUACGAAGAAGAAAGGUAAAGAGAAUGGGUUAGUUCUUGGCUUCACCGCUGGUCUCGCUUCGCUUAUCGUCCUUGGUCUUUGCCUCGUCGUGUUCUCUCUGGCGAUAAAGAAACGAAACGACGAUGGAAUGUACCAACCAAAUCCAAAAGGAGACACGUCUUCCUCACAACAUCAAUCGCAAAUCCAAACCCCAAGAACCAGAACCGUUCCGGUUAUGAACUCGGAUUCUGAAUCUCAGAAGCGAGAGAAAGAGGUUCAGUCACUACAAGCAACGGAGCAGCUACAAAGCCGAAUACCAAAUAGUGGGAAUCUUGUUUUCUGUGGUGAAUCGAGGAGUCAAGGGAUGUAUACGUUGGAGCAGCUUAUGAGAGCUUCGGCGGAGCUGUUGGGAAGAGGAUCAGUGGGGAUUACCUACAAGGCGGUUCUUGAUAAUCAGCUUAUCGUCACGGUGAAGAGACUAGACGCCGCUAAAACGGCGGUCACGAGUGAAGAAGCGUUUGACAAUCAUAUGGAGAUUGUUGGUGGACUCAGACACUUGAAUCUUGUUCCCAUUAGAGCUUACUUUCAAUCUAAUGGAGAGAGGCUCAUCAUCUACGAUUAUCAUCCCAAUGGUAGUCUAUCCAAUCUCAUUCACGGUAAGAAUCUCAUCUUCUUUAAAUCUCCAUGUUGAAUUUACUUUUUCAAGGGUUUUAGUUUAUUAACUCACUGAGUUAUUAACUCCGAGUUUUCUUUAAUUAAUUGUGUUGAGUGUCUUAAUCAUGACGUGACUAACCGUUUCGGGGUCGUAGAGAGAGACUAUGACCCACUCUUUGUUUAUUAUAUUAAGCUUUAAACCCUAAAAAUUAUGAAAGCAUGAGUCUCUUUGUGUGUGGAGGGUUUUGUGCACACAGCUUUAUCAACUUAGUAGUCAAUUAACUUGUUGACAUUGAAGAUGACCACACAGCGACAAUCUCGGGUUUUAUUUUACUAUUAAAGUUUUGUUCUUUUGCUCUUUUUUGAAGUUGUUCAAUUACUUAGUCGUAGUGGAAGAAGAAGACAGACUUUGGUGGAACUCUGUGCUGUUUUUUUCCACGUGAAAUCUCGUCUUUUGCAAUGGCUCUGUCUCUAGACCUUGUAUUAGUGCUUAAAUGCGGGGGAAAAUUAAAACCUUUUAUAUAAAAACGCUUAUUACUAGAAUUGUAAACAUUUUCCAAGAACGGGAGAAUUGCAUCUUAAGAAUGUUUGUUUCCCGGUAGUGCUUGAUUUGCUGCUUCUUGGCCCCAUAUUGUAGUACCAAAUGAUGACACUUCUAAUUACUCUCAUAAUUCAGGUUCAAGAUCGUCAAGAGCAAAGCCAUUACAUUGGACAUCAUGUCUAAAGAUUGCAGAAGAUGUAGCUCAAGGCUUAUAUUACAUCCACCAAACCUCGGCAGCAUUAGUCCAUGGAAACCUAAAAUCCACAAACAUUCUCCUGGGACAAGACUUCGAAGCCUGUUUAACAGAUUACUGCCUCAGUGUCUUAACAGACUCGUCUGCUGCCUCACCUGAUGAUCCUGACUCAUCCGCCUACAAAGCCCCUGAGAUCAGAAAGUCAUCCCGCAGACCAACUUCAAAAUGUGAUGUUUAUUCGUUUGGUGUAUUGAUCUUUGAGCUUUUGACCGGUAAGAACGCAUCGAGGCAUCCGUUUAUGGCGCCUCACGAUAUGCUUGAUUGGGUUAGAGCAAUGAGAGAAGAAGAGGAAGGAACAGAGGACAAUAGGCUUGGGAUGAUGACUGAAACAGCUUGUCUCUGCCGUGUGACAUCGCCAGAACAAAGACCAACGAUGAGACAAGUGAUUAAGAUGAUUCAGGAGAUUAAGGAGAGUGUGAUUGCUGAAGAAAACGAUCCGUUCCGGUAAAACAAAAAACAUCCGGUAGGUUCCCUCCCGAACAAUUUUCCGAGCGGAGGGGGUUAAUUUUAGAUAAAGGAGAACAUAGGGCUCGUAAAUGUAAUUUUCUUAGGAUGUGAGGUCGGAAUUGUAAUACCGUUGGAAUUUAGAGGACAAAAGUCAAAGAAGUAUGCUUUUUUUUUGCCUUUUCCGUGGAUGAUAUCAACCGUUGAAGAUUGGAAUUUUUUUUACCACAAAUAAUUGUGGAUUCAAUUGUCUUGUGGCUCCACCUGUGUCAGAAUAUUUAUGAUCCAAAGCCAGAGAAGCCAAAAGAAUUCCCAAUUUUUUUCAUUUUGGUUAAAAAGAAAGUAAAAAAAAAAGACAGUAUUAUACCUUUCUCAUUCUCAAAAUAAUAAUAAUAAUUGUAUGAAAUGCAAAAUCUCUUAUCAUAAUGCAAGGGAUGUUGGUUUGAAGAAAACAAACGUAAGGUUUAAGAAACUGUUGUAGAAUCACCAAUAAUUUGUUUUUUUGUUUGUUUUUGCCUUCUCAAGUUACUACGUUUUGGUCCAUAACUGUGUCAAUGCAAAUUUCGAUUAGAACAGAACGUUAUACAAGUCAGCCUAUUUAGGAACUAUUUCAAGAAAAAGAAAAAAGCCCGUGUGUAAAUAAACAGCCAUCUUACAUUACGAGGCCAAGUUUUGAUAUCAGCGGCCCAAAUAUAUAUAUCCAUAAAAGUCUACCAGAUAGAUGGUACCAAGAUAUUGUGCAUUCCCUACGCUACACACAAAGAUUUAAAGUAUGUGGAGUAUUUCUUAAAUAUUAAAUUCGAGCGUAGGAUUGAGACAGUAAAUCACUGUUGACUUGAUUUAUUAUCACACUUUCAAAUUUAGAAUCUCCACAUAACAAACCCGCCUCAUUGUUCAUUGUUGCAUUCAUUGUUAAUCCGAUACUACUUUUGCAAGAUUUAUAUUUUUGUUUCGACUCUGAUUUAGGGAGAUUUAAUGAGUUUACGCCUUUUCGUUAACUAAGCUGUUAAGCAUAAAUACUUAUACGAAUUCUUUUAAACAUUAUCGUUCGUGUGAACUUGAAUCUUUUUUUUUUUUUUUUCUUAUAAGAUCUGACGCAACUAAUCUAUUAUUGUAUCUAUCGGUUGGUGUGUUAUAUUGAUUUAAAUCAAAGAUCAUCACCAUCUAUAAAUAUAAAUGUAUGAAAAGGAACCGUAUUGGACUGGUUCUGUUGUAUUGUUAUAAACUUCUAAACAUAUAGAAAAAUAAAAUGGCGACCCCCCAUAAUUUGAAAAAUACUGUAUAAAAAAAAAUAACAUGUAAACAAAGUGGUCCAGUUUCUUGUAUAAAAAUGUAAUGAUAUUUUUUGCUUUUUCCGCGGUAAUUGGCACCAUGUUCACGUGCCAACUGGGUCACAGCUAAAAGUUUCAUUAUUUAAAAUUCUCAUAUAUUUUUCUCCCCUAGUGUUAAAUUAUUUAUUUUGUAAAUUUAUUCUUGUAAAAUUAAGAAAUUGUUAAACCAAAGUCGUGGGAACAAUCCAAAAUUAUCACUCAAUUCCCUACCCCACAGAUUCUAUAUGAUAAUUUCCGGUAUAUAUAUUUGUUUAUUAGAAUUCUUUUGCGUGUAACGAUUCCCAAAUGAUCGUAGAAUUAUUAUGAAAGGAACAUAAAUUGCUAAUUUAAUUUUGUUACAAUAUUAUUUAUUCUUUGUUUGUUCCUAACAAAUAUAUAUAUAUACAUAUGGAAACGUUAAAAUAUAAUCGGAGUAACUUAUUGAUAUAUAAUAUACAGACGUGUAUAUACAUAUAAAAUUAAAGACCACCUAAUAAAUUUUUGAAUGCAACAAAAAAAUAAAAUAAAAAUUGAAUAGAGAAAAAAGUAUAUUUAGAAAAGUAAAGACUUAUGGAGGUGUGUAUAUAGUAGUAGCAGAUAGAUGGGUUCACAUCACAAAGCAAAUUAUUGAAAUCGUGAAGAAACAAGUCAAGAGAGCUGCAACAACAUCAUAAAAUAUGGUCCAAGUUAUAUAUAUUAGUAUAUAAUUAAAAGGAUUAUUGUUAAACAUAAAUUAUGUUGAUGUUGAGCUAAUCCAUUCUUCUUAUAAACUAAACAGAAUAAAUAUCGUUAUCCGAAAAAAAAACAAAUAUUAUUAUUAUUAAAGGGUAGAAAAUACAGCUCAACACUCCUGAAACUAACAUAAAACAAUUAUUGAAAGAUCGGUUCUUUCGCGGAUUGACAUUUAUCUUAAAAACAUUAAUCAAAUCUCCCACCUGCUGUAUACAAAUAUUUAAAGUGUCACUAUUAAUUAUACAUAUAUAUAUGCUUAUUGUUGUUAUAUUUGUUUGAUCGUAUUAUUGGUUAGUGUUGUAGUUGAAUAUUUGGUUGGGAAACAAAUUUUCUUAUUGUAUAAUUUACUCAUUUUUUUUAUUUUGUUGGUAAUUAUAUAUAUAUAGCUUAUGUUCUUAAUAAACACUUGAUUGGGUUUUGCAUAAAAUUAAAAUAUGAUAAUGGAGCGUAAGUGGGAUUAAUACCAAAAUUCUCCUUGUCAAUAAAAAUCAAAGGAGAAGAGAGAAAAAAGUGAAAAACGGGGGGAAUAGGGAAUCAAAGGGACAAAAAGGACAAAACACAAUACGUGUCGUAAUAAGAAGAGUACACAACUCAACACAUAAAAGUCAAUUCCUAACGGUAUCUCUCUCCUCAGCCCACCGACCACCGACCUACCUUCCUUCCUCCACUAUCUUUAUACCGUAUGUAUUCGUAUGUUAAUUUGUUAUCAUACAGUUACAAAUUUAUUUUAUGUUUCAUUUUUGUUUUCACCACCAAGACGGCAAAUAAAAACAAAAGCAACGAUUACGAAGCGGUUUCAGUUUUUAUUUUGAUUGUAAAGUACUACUUCAAAUACUAAUACGAUUUACAAAAGAAGGGAUGCGAUGAUUUUUAUAAUACAAAUAUAAAUUAUCCUAGUUUUAUGUGGCGCCAAAAACCCAAAACAAAAACCGAAUUUGUUAUAUAAAAGAAAAGUUGUGUUAGAUUUAAAAGUUAAAACUAUAAAGUUUAAUGCCGAAGUAAGAGAAGUUUAUGGAAAAUAUAUAUGGAAUUAUUUUUUGUGUUUCUCCUUUAUAAAAAAAGAAAUUUGACUAACCAAAAAUGUUGUCCAUGUAUGCAGUAGUAAAGUUUUCAAUCUUUUUAAUAUUUUGUUCUCGAUAAAGACCGUUGGUAAAGUUUUCACCAGUCAAUAUGAUUUAGUGUUAUUAACAUAGGAUUAUAUCAUAUGAUAAUCGAAUUUUGGCGAUGAUUAUAUAACUUUGUCGAUCUAUGCAGAGUUAUUAGGUAUCUUCUUUAGUAGAAUUUGGUUACUAAUAAUUUAGUAGAUAAGUAUGUGUAUUGGCGGAGGUAUAUAUUCGUAGAUAAAAAAAAAUAAUGGUUUUAAAAUAAAAAGAAACACACAGAGGUUUUGCGUACUAUAAUACAUAUGGAUAGCAGAAAAAAUAUUAUAUGAAGAAAUAAUAAUAAUAAUAAAAGAUAAAAUAAAUGUAGAAAAAAAAGAGAUGCGCAUGUCAUCUCCACCACCUCUUCUUCCGCCUAUCCUCUUAAAAAGUUUCUGUUCCAUUAAAAAUUACACAAAAAUCAUCAUCACACAAAGAUACAGCUUUCAUCAUCUCCGUCUCGCUCCCAUUUUUUUUUUAUCUUUUUUUUUUUUUUUGGUAUCUUUUUUUAUUUACAAAACUGAUAAAUUUUGGAGCGAAACAGAUUUUUAUUUUUCUAAUAGGAAAAGGAAAACAAGAAGAAUUGUUUUUUUUUUUUUUUGUGAUAUAUAUAUAUAUAUAUAUAUAUAUAUAAAGAUGGAAAUCAAAGUUUAUCUUCUAUAAAUCCAACUAACCUAAAAUUCUCUCUUCUCUUAACUUUCUAUUUUUUUUCUUUCUUGUCGGUGAAUUUGGAUUGUUCUCUUCCUCCAUCAUCAUAAUACCACCUGCUGCUACCUCCCUCCUCCUCUAUCUCCUGCUCCGACAAAUUUAUUCUCUGUCUCUGUCUCUCUCUCUCUCUAAAACCCAUCUCGAAAGUGUUUCUCUUUGGAGGGUUUAAUCAUACUUCCUCCUCCAUGGACGGCGACGCAGUAACUGACGUGGCAGUGGGCGGUACGAGGAAGAGAGAGAGACCAUACAAAGGAAUAAGGAUGAGGAAGUGGGGAAAGUGGGUAGCGGAGAUUCGAGAGCCAAACAAGCGCUCUAGGUUAUGGCUCGGCUCUUACUCCACCCCCGAGGCCGCCGCUCGUGCUUACGACACCGCCGUUUUCUAUCUCAGAGGUCCUACGGCCAGGCUUAACUUCCCUGAGCUUCUUCCUCUUGACAAAUUCUCCGACGAGGAUAUGUCGGCUGCCACCAUCAGGAAAAAAGCUACCGAGGUCGGUGCUCAGGUUGAUGCUUUAGGCACCGCGGUUCAGAAUAACCGCCACCGUGUCUUUGGUCAGAGUAUAGAUAGCGACGAUGAUAAGAAGAACUUUCAUCGGGAUUAUCAUAACGGUGACCAAGAAGAUGAUGAGGAAGAGGACGACGACAAGAGGUUCAAAACUGCCGGCCGGUUCUUGGAUCGGGUUGACUUGAAUAAGUUACCCGACCCGGAAAGCUCCGAUGAAGAAUGGAAAAGCAAAUAUUAAUAAAAAUAUAUUAUAUUUUGGGAGCGGUGGCUGCUGCUAACGUACGCCGCGGCUUUGCUUCUACGAAUCAUUAGCGCCGUUUAUGAUUUUUUUUUUUUUAGUUAUUAAUUUUGUUUUGGUUUUGUUUUUUUUUUUUUUUCCUUUAUUGCGGAUUUUGCGGUUUAUGGAAAUUUUAGGCUAUUGCUUAAAGAAUGCAAAAAAAAAUGUAUAUUACUCUCUACUCAUUAAUUACUCAUUAAUGGAAAAAUUUCGCCCUAAAUCUCUUUGUUUUCUUUACUUUAGUUAGUGUAUACCGAGCAUGUAUUCCAAAACUUAAACUAUACCUAAGUUCUAUUUUUUUUAAGGAAACUUAAACUACACAUAAGAAUUCCUAUUUUUUGAGGGAAAUCUUUAUAUUACUGAUCAGUUGGAAAGGUCCUCUUUAUAAAACAAUUAAGAACAGUUUCUAUGAUGUUUAAGAAAAUGCCCUCUUAUGGAUUUAAAUCGAAGGGAUGGGAUAACAAGUUGAAUAAUAAUAAUAAUAAUAAUGGGACAAAGUAUGACCUACAUGCAUAUAUCAUAUAAAAGCAACUUGACAUUGUCUAUCUCUCUAUUAAUUACGUCUCUAUAUCUUUUUUUUUCUUUUUCUAAUUCAUAAAGUUUGUAAUAAAUAAUAUAUAUAUACAUUACUUAGAAUGUAUAAAUAUGUAAGAUGGAUAAGAUUUUUGAGUCGUCGGGGGGUGUUUUGUUUUUUGUCUUCUGCUCCAUUUCCAUUUGUUCUGUGGGUACCAUUUAGAUUUUAUAUGCUCCAUCUUUUUCAGUUCUAUUAUUACAAAUUCAUUAUUGUCGCUUAUUUAUUUAUUUUUAGAUGUGUUUAAAUCUUUUUAAUAAAGUUUUUCUUACGUAUAUCAUUUUAUAUCGGAGCUUGAAAGUUUCCUUCGCCAUGCAUUUUAUAAUUAUCGUAUAGUAUUAUCUAUUUGUGACAGGAGGCAAGGGGAAUUAAUUAAGUUGCACCUAUUAAUCGCCUCUCUUUAUAUAUAAUGCAUAUUAUGUAUUGCAUUUCUUCAUUCUUUAUUUUCUUGUCGGCGCAUUUCUCCAUUUUCUUUUGAUAGGUAUGCAAAGCCCUUUCUCGUGAGGGGGAAGAAACAAAAAUAAAAAUAAAUCAUUAUCUUCCUUGGUUUAUACUUUAUCUCUCUUUUAAAAAUUAAUCUAUAUUUCUAAAAUUCAAUACAUAUUUUUCUAAAAAACUUGACUUUAAAUACAUCAUUUAUCAUUACUAACGACAAAAAAAAUAAUGUUUAAGAAAUUUCUGUUUCUUGAAUUAAUGAAGAAUGGAGGAGAGAGAGAUAUAUAUAUAUAUAUAAUGUAUAAGUGUGUUUCUGUUUUAGUAUCUUUGUUAUUAUAAAAAAGGAAAGAAAAAAAAAACGAAGAUACCAAAAAAAGAAAGAGUACAGGUGGAUAAGUCCAAGACAAGAAUGGCAAAGGUGGAGCUUUGAUUUGAUAUUUGAUCGGCCUUCACUUUUUCUUCUGUUAGUAAAGCUUUCUUUUUUACCUAAAUCAUUCACGAACCCAUCCACAAAUAUUUUAAUUAGUUUUUUUUUUCUUUGAAUCUUGUUGUAGACUGUGAGAGCAUGUUUGGUUUUUGUUAAUAAUAAUUUUAUAUCAGAGAACUAAAUGAAAAUAAACUGAAAACCAGUAUAUAUAUAGUGCUAUAAUUGAACCGUAAUCACGAACUGACCAAAGACCAAUGGGGAAACACGGUUCGACUGAUCAAUAUUAUAAAAUCAUUGACCAUGUCUCCAUCUUCCCCGAACUUCCUGUCUGAUCCUUGUUUCUCGUUGUCAUUAUCUCGUUGGAGUUAUCUAUAAAAUUGUUUCAACCACAACCAAAUCAAAAAAAAAAGUUCAUACUUUGCAUAGUAACGGGCAAAGGCUGAUUUAUAAAUUAGUAUCCAAGUUUAAGAUCAGGGAACUAUAAAUAUUUGUAGGCUAGAAUCAAUCUUGGAGUUAUAUUGCUUAAUCGAGAAACAAACGCACUAUAUAUAUAAAAUUUAAUCAAAAUCAGGUUAUACUGGCCGAUACGUUGAUGAAUGAUAAAGAUGAAAAAUUAAAUGGGCUUUUUGAAAUAAGGCUUAUUAUUAUAACACCAUAAAUAUAUUUUAAAACAAAAUAAAAGUACGUCAAUUUUUUGUAAGCUUAACUUUUGGGUCUAAUUAAGGCCUCAACUCAUUUGGUAAGCCCAGUUUAGCCCAUGAGAUAUCGCCAGUUUGUUUGUUGUUUACUGCGGACAAAAUCAAGGUGCGGUCUCGUUCUGCAAAGAGCUGAAAAUAUAAAGGUGACUGACUUUCGUAUUAGACGAAUAAGACGACUUUCAAAAGAUUUUCCUUUUCACAAGUUUGAUUCUUUCUUUUUUUCUUUUAUUAUUCUUAUUUUGUCGAUUUCUUGCGCGAUGCCUUAUACCAAUGUGGUAUGUACUACAGUAUUUGGUUUGCAUUGGUCGAAUAAAUAAAUAAACAAUUUAUUUGUAGAAAGUUUCUUCAAUUCCAAUUCGAGGCAAAGUUUUCAGCAUCACCAGCACCUAAUCGUAGCCUCUAUAUCUCACGACUCACACAACGCCAAGAAGAGUGAUAUUUUAGUUAUUUCAAGCGACUGAGGAGAUUAUUGUUUGAAAUGAAAUAUGCAUAAGUUAAAGCUUCUAAAAAGCCACCCUGCUCCCAGAUUUGAAUGCAAAUUAUUAAAUACAACAGCAAUCAACUACAGUGACAUAUCUAUAUAAAGGACAUUAUGACGAAGUAGAUAUGUGUUAUGUAGUAGUAGUACAUGUUUAGAUGUGAAACAGGUUAGCUAGAUACUUCAAAUAAGAAAAAAAAGAGAGUGUUGUAUUCACGUGAGUCACGUUUUAGCAGAGAGGUAAUCAAAUCAAAGCUUCCGUGAUCUUAAAUGAAAUGUGGAGCCCACAUUAUUUUCAACUGUCUGGAUUCACCGACAGUACGAGGAUGAUUUUAUCGACAACCGUCCGAUGUUUCCAAGCUGUCAUCGGCUCUCUUUUUUUUUUUUAAUAUAAAUUAAAGAACAAAUAAAUAAAACAUAUUCUAGUCUACCUACAAAUUAUAGGAUUUCUACGUUUUGAGAUGAUUGUGCCGACACACUUUUGGUCUUAUAUAUGUGUCUCUCAUUAUUUUAAAGUUAUUUUUUUUUUGUUUUUAAUAGAGCGAUCACUAGUGAAAGGUUUUUAUACAAGCCACGUUUAUCAUGUACAUAAUUUUUUUAAGAUUAAUAUUUUAAUUACGUUGUUUAGUCAAAAACUGGCUAUAUAAAGAUUAUCAUCAUGAUGAUAAGAUUGAAUCAAAGACGUGGACAAGCAUAAACAUAACUAAAAAUGUCGUGAAACUGAAUCUUUAUGAAAUAUGUGAAGACAUUAAACAAAACAACUCUAAUUUAGAAACAAUUUUUUAAACCUCUCACAAGUUUUAGAAAGAAAAAAAACACUAUUAAUUUUAGUCGAAAUCUAAAUUAGUUUUGGAUACAAUAGUUGAAAUGGCAGUACGUAAACUGAUAUAUACAUCAUGGGUUUUCAGUUCAUAUAUGAUCAAAUUUAAAGCCAAAUCAUAAAUAUUCAACAUAUAUACAUGUAUCCUAGAUUUUGAUUUCCAUACAUUUUGUUACACAACACAAAUAUAUAUGCUAAUCAAUCAAUAAUUUGAUAGUUUGGUAACAAUAUCUCCUCUUGAGGCAUCUUCUAAGUGGUUGGAUUCCAUGAUAGGGGAAAAAAGGCAAUCUACGAUAUAAAAAGAAAGAGAAACUUAUCAAUCCGACCGAUAUGAUUUGUUAGCGAGACAAUGGUGGGGCAAAGAUGGCCAUUGUGGAAUCGACAACACAAACAUAUUAUAUAUCAUCAACAGAUGCAUAUAGAGAGAGGGUUUCUUGAUAUAAUUACUACUUAGGGAAAGAAACAGAGAGCAUCAAAGCAUCGUCAUAGUUCCAUUAGGGGAAGGUUUGGCUUUUUCCUCCACCCUCCCCACUUGUAUAUGUAUAUUAUUCUUCUUUCACGCUUUCGCUCUCCUUUAUUUCUUCUUCUUACCCACACCUAUUCUUUGCUUUUACCUAAAACUACUUAACACGUAUUUAGUAAUAUGCGUUUUAAAAAAAAUUGUCUUAUAAAGAUUACAUUAUAAUCUCUUUUUUCUUUGGUCGGCAGGGAGACACUCCUCUAAUAUUCUCUUGUUUACACUUCACCAAGAUGUCUUUGUUGAAUUUUAAUUAUUGCUUGAAAUAUUAGUACAUUUUAGUGAGAAUUAACUUUCCUGAUUAUUAACUAAGAACAAACAAAAAAACUGUUGUACAUAUAACAUAUGCUGAAUAUAAAUUUUUUAAAUUUACAUAUUUUCCUAAAAUACUAAACCGAUGCAUAGGUACCGUAUAUUAGCAAACCGAUUUUUAUAUGAUAUCGGUUAAUUGUUUCUUUAAAAGUUGAUGUAAAUAUUAUUAAUAACAUGUGAAAAGGGAGCGUGAGAACACGCAUGGGAAAGCCAAGAGAGAGUGAAGAAGACUUGUUUUCCCGUACUCUUGGAUUGGGGCAUUUUCGGUAUCACAUCCCUUUUUAAUUUUUUACAUCACAUUAUCUCCGUUUGCUUCUUUUGUUUCCUCAUACAAAACUCUUUUCACGGAUUUGUUCAUCGUUUUUUAUUUUUAUUUUAAAAUUAUUUGUAAUAUAUCUGUCUCUCAUAUUUAUGUAUUCAGAUUACAAUGGACAAAUAUAAUUAUCGAGUACUACUAGUCUACUAUAUACAAAGAGAGGGAAAACGAUAUAUAUAUAUAUAUAUAUAUAAAAGAGUGAAAAAAUGAUAAAUAUUAGAGUACCAAGCUGGAGUAGGAGAAAUUAAAAUAGUACAAGAAAUUAAAUAAGAUGACAUAUACUCCCAUCUACAUCCUACAUUUCAGUCCAUAAUAAUUUUUGAAUUUCUGAAUUUUGCUUUCCUCUUUUUCAUAUAUAUAUAUAUUUUUUAAAAGAGAAAAAUGCAGUGAUGUCAAAUACCCAGGAGACCAAAAACUAGGAGACAGUCUCAUGCCCCUUGUAUUGGGAAAGAAUCAUCAUUUUCAUAUAUUUUUAUUUCGUAUACAUAAACUUUUUUUUUUUUUUCUAAUAUAUAUCAUUGUUCUGCACCACUCUAGUGAUGGAUGAAUAGGGUCAGAUAUUUGUAUUCAUAUGGAUCCUCUUCGUAAUCUAUUUAUUUAUUACGAGUUUAUAUAAUAACCUUUACUCGUUCUUGUUGUCUUCUCAUCUCUUAGUCUUUAUUGUUUCUCCCCAAAUUUUCUUCUUCUUUCCUUUUGAUCAAGAAAAGAAAAAAGAAAGAAUGUGGAACCUUAACGACUCACCGGAUCAUCACGAUGAACAAGACAGCAGAGGGAAUCGGCUCGGACACGUGUCAAACUACGUGAGCCAAUCUACCACGUGGCUACCGUCUGUGCCUCCGGUGACCCGGAAUUUCUUCCCGAGUCAAGUCAUGGAACCAGGAGUUCGAGAGAUGUUUGGUUCCGGUUUCAACAACAUAAACCAAAGUGUCGGUAAGUCGGAUCCAAGUGGGUCGGGUCGACGACCAGAAGAGCCGGCGCCGGAGAUAUCCCCGCCGUUAAAGAAGAGCCGACGCGGUCCUCGGUCACGUAGCUCUCAGUACAGAGGAGUUACGUUUUACCGACGAACCGGAAGAUGGGAGUCACAUAUUUGGUAUUCCCUUUUUUACAUAAUAUCAACCAUCUCAUAUCUUGUACCUUUAUUAUUUAUUGUAUACCUUUUUUUUUUAAUCACUUGAGUUAUUUUUCAUAAAACGUUUUUUGGAAUAUAAUUAUGCAGGGACUGUGGGAAGCAAGUGUACCUAGGUAUGGGUUCAUAUCAAUUUGUUUACGAAUCUACUGUUAUGUGUGUGUCCAUAUUUGUUUCUUCUGAUUGGUGUUACAUUACAUAUGCAUAUGCAGGUGGAUUUGACACAGCACAUGCCGCUGCUCGGUAUGUUUCCUCUACCAAAUAAUCAAUUAGCAUGAACCUAAUACUUUAGUACUAUUCUUUUUUACCUAGUUAUAGAAUUAAUUUUGGGUUAGUAAUUAUUUGUGGCAGUGCCUACGAUCGAGCGGCAAUUAAAUUUAGAGGUGCAGAUGCAGAUAUUAAUUUCGACAUUGAAGACUACAUGGACGAUUUGAAACAGGUUAUAUAUUAUUAGGUUCUAGUGAUUUUAAUACUAGUCAGAAGAAAAAUACUGUUAAAAAUAUUUGCUAUUGUGUGUGUGUGUGCAGAUGGGAAAUUUGACAAAGGAAGAGUUUAUGCAUGUUCUUAGAAGGCAAAGCACUGGGUUUCCAAGAGGCAGUUCUAAAUACAGAGGUGUUACUUUGCACAAAUGUGGUAGAUGGGAGUCUCGUUUGGGUCAAUUUCUCAACAAAAAGUAGUAAAUUUACUUUGAAGGUUUUUUUAGUCAAAUUUUAAAACUUUUCUUUCUUCAUUAAUUCGAAUGUGUCCUGUUUGUUUUGAUUUCUUUCUCAUUUAAGGUACGUUUAUCUGGGUCUCUUUGAUACCGAGAUUGAAGCUGCAAGGUACUGUUAUGUUGUUGUUCACCGUCGCAUCAUCACGUUUCAAAUAAUAAAUAUUGGUACGAAAUAUUUAACUUUUUACACAUGCGAUUUUGAAUACAGAGCUUAUGAUAAAGCCGCAAUAAAGUGUAACGGGAAAGAUGCAGUCACCAAUUUUGACCCUAAAGUAUACGAGGAAGAAGACCUUAUCCCAGGUAAUAUUUUAUUUUUAGCCUUGAGAAAAAACACAAGUUUACCCCCAAUCAUCAAUUUCCUGGUAAACCCCAACAGAGAUGAAGUGGAAUGGUCAUAAUCUUGAUCUAAGUCUGGGAGAAUCAAACUUGGAAGAGUUAGGAUUCAAAUCCGAUGUAAGAGUGUUCAUGUUCGUGUUUGUUUAUAUAUAUCAUUUUGGUUUUGUUUGAAGAUAAUUAAGAAAAUUGUUAUAUUUGGUUUUGAUGACAUUUUAAAGAAUAGGACUAGAGAUGAGGAAAGAUCACUGGGGAGUGAUCUAUCGCUAGCCAUGACGACGACAGCAGUCAGAUCGGAAAAACAAUCAGACGGUGGAGGAAAACGAGCGGGAAUGGCAGCAGCAUCAUCAGGAUUCUCUCCUCACCCUUCUCCUUGGCACCACCACACUCCUAACAACUUCCACUUAUUUCGUCACUGAUUCAUUCAUCAUCUGAGCUUAGAGUGAAUCCAAAUAUGCUUUGGAUCAUUUGAAUUACCAUUUCUCGAGUUAUUUUUUUUUUGGCUCCGUCUAUGUGAGUAUAUAUGCUCUUGGGUCGAUAUAAGAGUUACUUCUUUCAAUAAUUUAAUCAGACAACAAAAGCUACUAAAUCCUAAACUGAAUUUCAUACUAAUAACAGACCUGAAGCUGUUUUGUGAAAUUUGCAGUGAGUCUUCAAAUAAUCAUCAGUUUUCCCCUGUAAAAGAGAGAAACCAAACCUCUUUAUAGUAACCACUCACUGUUUUCGCUUAAAACAGACAAAAGGGUUUUGGUGUGAAUAGUGAAAGUGUAAUCACCUUAUUUGACUGAGUAAUAUAUUAUAUACACAGAGCACCAACAUCUGGUGCAAUAGCUUCAACUUCAUCUGAUGUUCCUCUCCUCGUAUUCUUCCUUCCCUUCUUCGACUCCAUUGUUUGGCUCCUGCAAAUUAAUUAGUAAACUCUGAUCUUAAGUUCAGUCCUGUUUUGAAAGUUUAGUAGGACAGAUUUAAGAAACUUACACUAAUAGUUUAACAGAGGAUCUCCCAGUUGCUGUUCCACAGCAAGACUUGUAUUUCCUCUUAGAACCACAUGGACAGGAUUUAUUCCUCGGGACCUUCUGCAGUUUUUGUAAAAAUCCGUUCAUAUCCUUUAUGCAAUCUAAAGGAAAAAGCUUUCUCAUGUUUAACUGAGUCAACGAACCUUAUCAUCAAUCUGUGAACUGCACUUGGCAUGGACUGUUUCGAUGUCACUGCAGGUAGCUGAUUCCUCCUGGUUCAAUUCUUCUUUGUGUUGCUCGUUAUUAUCCAUUGUACUAUCAAUUACUUCCUUUGCAUUUGUGGUAUCUGCUGCAGAGGCGGUUUCUGAAUCAUAAGAAUCCAUUCCCUUCUCUGCUAGCAGGAAUUCUAUCGCAGCAUCGACAUCACCAUUUACUUGUACUAGAACCUAAAGGGAGAUUCCGGAUAAGAGAUAACAAAUGAUCAUAUUUUCUUACACAUUAAACAAGUAUCGUCUUAUCACCUGUUCAGCUUUUUCAGCAUUGUCACAGCAACUACCAGACAUAACCACUUUGAUAUCCCCAGCAUCCACACUACGUCUAUCAUCUUUGUUUUUGGACUUGCUCUCUGUGGCUUUCGCUUGUUUAGCUGCUGCUGAAACUUUAGCAUCAGCCUUUCACAAAACUGGAAUUUAUUAGGACAGAGACACAGACAUUUAUGUAUACUAUAAACAGCGAGCUAAGGUUUGAAGUAAAACCUCUAUUAUAACAGGUCUGGCUGGUCCCCCACAAGCAUCUUCCUUGGAACGCACACUGUUGUAAUGUUCCCCAUCGUGGUACGACCUUCAAAAGGAACUAUUAAAUACAUGCAAAUUCAAAAAUCUCCAUCUUAGCAGAUCAUACAUGUAAUCAGCAGAAUCAAGUACUCACAGAUGGAUCAUGCGGGUUCGUGUAUCUUCAAAAUUGCGUAUAUACCAACGCGGUGACAUGCUCUACAACAAAUAGACAAAUGCUCAAACAGACGUAUGUGUUAAAAGGGAACAGAUCAUGAAAAGAGGCAUUAUUGUUACCCUGUGAAUACAAAUAUUACUGCGUGUGACAAGAGAAGCAGCCUGUAGUUCCAUAUUCCCAGCCCAAGUGCCAUCGUCAUCCAUGGUUUUACAGUAAUCAUCGAAGGGGACAUCAUCUUCAAUAAAAGGCUCAAACAUCUCACGAUUUUUCUGUAAAAGCCAUUGAGAGUAUAUAUAUAUAUAUAGGUGGGUACUUCCAAAAAUCUAGACUUGUAUGAAAUGCCACUUACUUACCACUAUAUACUGUACAACCAUGUUACGGUACUUGUUGUGUUCAUCCUCAUUGCCUUCUAGUUGAUCGGCAAGUGCCCUGUGAAGAGAAUAAUCACAAGUCAAUCUUACACAAUUUGCUUUGUCUUCUCAAACAUAAACGAAUUCGAUGAUCAAAACAAAAACACAGACCUGAAGAAACAAUUACCGUCUGAAGUAACUUGGAUAAUCUUAAGCCCUAAAGCGUCAAGCUGAGCACGAAACUGAGAGAGAUCACAAUCUUUUCCUUGUUUCUUCUUCUUCACCUAUGAAUCAAUCAAACAACGGAAAACACAAAACUUUACAAUGAUACGACAUAGCAUAACAGGACAAUACUAAUCGAAUAUGUGUUGAACCAAAGCAGCAGCAAUAGAGGAAUUUUAAAAUCAGAUAUGUUGAAGUUUAAUAAGCAAAUCGAAAUUAAAAUAAAAGGCUUGGAGAAACAUGACGAACCUGAUGCGGUUGUUUCUUAGGCUUAGAUUUUUGUUGCUUAGUUUUCGCCAUUAUCAAAUCAGAUGGAAGGAAUAUGAAAGCUAGUUAGUCGGGUAGUUGCGGCGGCACAAUGAGAAGCAGAAUCAAAAUUCUGAACCGUUUCGUCGCCGCCGGAUUCUCCGGUGACAUACGUAUAGAAGAACAAUCAUGUACUAGACUAUUGGGCCCGAUAAUUGUUUAACCAAUAAAACUGUAUCAAAAUGGGCCUUCAGGAGGCCCAUCAAGCUUCGAAACUACAGACAUUGGACUAGUGGAUGUGGAUAUUGCUUCAUGGCUUUAUGCUUUGGUCAACAAUUUUACACGAUUGAUGUGUUUUGUCUCGUGACUUUUCUACCAUCUCUGUGUGUGUGAGUGAAACAUUAUCAAAACUCACGCUAUUAGCUUAACAUAUAAAAACAUUUAUAUUAGUUCUGUAUCAUGUACACUGGUAUGACUUUCCUCAAGUCUCUUUGUAAACCCUAUCUUUAACUCAAUAUUAAUCCAGUUGACCCAAAAAAAAAGAAUCCAAGAAUUGAAGUCAAUUAAUAAAUAUACUUUGUAAUUGUUAAAUUAUUGACAUUCAUGUGUUGUAUUGCACUAAAAUUUUAUAUCAGCAUCAGCAUCAGCAUCAGCAUCAGCAUCAGCAUCAGCAUCAACCAACGAUAAAGACAUUAUAAAGUCAUACUUUAACAAAAGAAGAUAAAAGUAAUGCCAAAUACGAGCCAAUCAUUUAGAUUUUUUUUUUUCUUAACAGAGAUUUUAUAUUCAGUUACACGAACCUAGUCUUUGUUUAUACUUGUUUUCUGUUAAACAGGUUUGUUGUAUUAUACAUAUCACAAAAUACCAAAAUAAAAUAUGAAAAACGAGGGAGGGCACAGAGUCUUUAAUUAUUAGUGGUACCAUAUAAAGUAUAUGAUGUAACCUGUUUGUUGGUCAGGUUAAUUAAUGGACUCAUUUAUACAUACAGAAGUCACGAUUGCCUUCGAGAAGAAAGAGAGCCUCACGUUUACCCAAAAAGCUCCGUAACGAUGGAAGGAAACUUUGUGGUGAUCUCAAAGAGCAUCGUAAGUCUCAGAAACUUUAAGGAACCGACUACUGUGAAGAAGAAGAUUCAUCUGACUCCAUGGGAUCUCGCUCGUCUUCGCUUUGGUUAUCUUCAAAGAGGUCUUCUCUUUCCCAAACCUGAUCCCAAAAUUGACAUCAUCGUCUCUCGAUUGCAAGCUUCACUCUCUGUUGCACUUGAUGGUUUCUAUCCUCUAGCUGGUCGUCUUGUCAAGGUAAAGAACGAAGACGAUACUGUUUCGUUUUUCAUCAGCUGCGAUGGUUCAGGUGUGGAGUUUGUUCACGCCGUGGCUAAAGACAUCCAGCUCAGUGAUGUACUUAAGCUGUCUGGUUCUGUCCCUGGUUUCUUCAGUUCCUUUUUCCCUGCGACCGGAAUCAAGAACUACCACGGUGUCUCAAGAUCUUUACUUAUGGUUCAAGUGACAGAGAUGAAAGACGGGAUAUUCAUCGGCUUCGGUUACAACUCAACUGUGGCUGACGCCAGUUCAAUCUGGAGGUUCAUCAACGCAUGGUCUGAGAUUUGCUUCAAGGAUUCGGGAUCCGAGACCUUGCAACGUCAUCUUCAACUCAAAGGUUGGUUCUUUGAUGGGAUUGAUUAUCCAAUCCAUAUCCCAGACCCUGAAACAAAACCAACUAGUUUUGUAACAUCAACCAAUUUACAAGAGAAGAUGUUCCAUGUCACAAAGGAUAAUGCUUUGAAACUGGAAGCUGAAGCCAACGGCGAGGCUGAUCAAAAGAUCUCGUCUAUUCAAGCAGUGUUAGCACAUAUAUGGUGUUCAAUGGUCGAGCACAGUGGCAUGAGCCGAGAAGAAGAGACCCAUUACAGGUUGCCUAUAAACAUGAGGCAAAGACUCAAUCCACCGCUAGGAGAAGAGUGUUUUGGGAAUGUGAGCCAGACCGGGAUAGCCACAGUCACGGUUGGGGAGCUGCUGGACCAAGGGCUAGGCUGGGCGGCUACGCAAAUCAACAAAAUGGAGCUGUCACAAACGGAUGAAAAAGCAAAAGAAUCUGCAGAGAAUUGGGUGAAAAAUGUCAAGAUUCCAGUUUCUGUUGGCAGCAAAGAUUUAGUGGUCACAAACUCACACCGGUUCGAUAUGUACUGCAACGAUUUCGGUUGGGGUAAACCGAUAGCUGCAAGAGCUGGACCACCGUAUCUCAAUGGGAGACUCGUUGUGUUCCAAGGAAUCGAUCAAGAGAGUAUUGAUUUUCAGGCUUGCUUACAGCCUCACGUAGUGGAUAAAUUAUUGAAUGAUGUUGGAUUUAAAGAGUAUGUGCACAUUGUAUGAGAUGAUUUGCUUCAGUAAAUUGAAUGUGUAACACUAAGCGAAACCACUGACUGGACUCUCUCGUGUUCAAGAUUCACCGAAUUCAAUGCAAUUUUUUCGUGCUGGAUUACCAUCAACGAAUCGAUUCAAAUACAUCAAGAGACUCAUAAACGGGAACGUACCUGACCGGAAUCGACUACGCUCGCCGCCGGAUUUGCCGCAAUCUGCCGAUCUCAGUCAAAAAACUUUCACUAAAAAAAUAUUAAUAAUGGGCCUAGGGAGUCUUAAUGGGCUAUCUCAGUAGUUUGGUAUUGUGCAAGUCUCGUGUCUAAGUUUAUGUGUACAAAAUCUAGAUAUGUAGUGCUUUUUGUUUUUUGUAAUGAGAUUGUAUCUAACCGGAUCCCGCUAGACUCGCCACCAGAGUUGAUAAUGGGCCUACGGACAGUAAUGGGCUCAAUUAUGUAACCCAAUAACGGUCUACCUAGCACAGUUUUUAUCCAAGUGUGAAACACGUUGUGUAGCUCAGUUUGUUUGGUAUGUGAUGUGUGAUCAUGUCUGAUUUGUACGAGGAUAAGUAAAUGUACUACCGUAGUAGUUGGAUAGUUUUUAUUCUCUGGUUGCGAAAUUAAAAAAAAAAAAAACAUGGGAGAUGAAGUUGUUGAAGUGAUCUCUAAGAGCAUAGUACGACCAGAGAGCUACAACGAGGAAUCGGAUCGGGUUAAGAUCCAUCUCACUCCAUGGGAUCUCUUCUUUCUUCGAUCCGAAUACCCACAAAGAGGUCUUCUCUUUCCUCAACCCGACCCGGAAACCCAAUUUGUCUCUCGAUUAAAAUCCUCUCUCUCCGUCGCUUUGAACAUCUUUUACCCAUUCGCCGGUCGUCUCGUCAAGGUCGAGAACCAAGACGACGGAACAGCGUCGUUUCACGUAGAUUGUGAUGGUUCAGGUGCCAAAUUCAUCCACGCUUCAGCUAAAUCCGUUUCGGUGAGUGAUGUUUUAGAGCCUCUCGAUGGUCAUGUCCCUGAUUUCUUGAAACGUUUUUUCCCGGCGAACGGAGUUACAAGCUGUGAAGGGAUCUCUGAUUCGUUAAUCGCGUUUCAAGUAACGGAACUGAAAGAUGGAGUUUUUAUUGGAUUUGGUUAUAACCAUAUAGUUGCUGAUGGAUCUUCGUUUUGGAGUUUCUUCAAUUCUUGGUCGGAGAUUUGCUUUAACGGGUUUGAUCCCCAUCACCGGAGAAAGUUUCCUCCUUUGCUUCUCCGUGGAUGGUUUCUCGACGGGAUUGAGUAUCCGAUUCGAAUUCCGACCUCAGAGACAGACACACCGAACCGGGUUGUUGUUACUUCAUCGUUGAUACAAGAGAAGAUUUUUCGAUUCACAAGUGGAAACGUCUCUGAGCUGAAAGCGAAAGCCAACGGCGAGGUUAGUGUUGAUGACCGGAAGAUAUCGUCGCUUCAAGCGGUUUCGGCGUAUAUGUGGAGAUCGAUAAUCAGAAACAGUGAAUUGAGUCCGGAAGAAGUGAUUCAUUGCAAGUUACUGGUGGAUAUGAGGCAAAGACUAGACCCUCCGCUUAAGAAAGAGUGUUUCGGGAAUAUGGUCGGGUUCGCUACGGCGACGACCACCGUCGCGGAGAUGCUUAACAAUGGUCUUGGUUGGGCUGCUUUGCAAAUAAACACAAGUGUUGGUUCACAAACGAAUGAAAAGGUUAGAGAGUUUGCUGCGGAUUGGGUGAAGAGACCGAGUAUAAUGAAUGUUAAGGCUUUGAGCAACUCUAUAGUGAUUGCUAGCUCUCCUCGGUUCAAUGUAUAUGGAAAUGAUUUUGGCUGGGGUAAACCGAUUGCGGUUCGAGCUGGACCGGGAAAUACUUGUGAUGGCAAACUCAUUGCUUAUCCUGGAACAGAACAAGGAAACAUCGAGAUUCAGACGUGUUUAUCGUCUACUGUUUUGGAAAAAUUAUCGACUGAUGUAGAGUUUUUGAAACAUGUAUGUGUUGUAUAAGUGAAAUCAUCCGAAUCAUAUGUACUUUAAAUAAAUUCACGUGUGAAUUUAUUCGAUUUGCUUAAGUUUUCAAGAGUUUCAUCUCUUAGAAUUUUGUUUGGCAAACCGAGAAAUAGAGUCUGUGCCAAACUCGUAUUGUCUGUGUGGAUACAAUUUUCUUCGUAUCAUCUGAUAUGUGGUCUUUGCUCUUUACAAGUUUUACAACUCAUGAUAUCUGUUGAAAAUUUGGAGGAUGUGAAACGAAUCUUUUCAGCAAAAUCUCUAUUUAGACAAGUUUCCUUCUUUACUGUUAUCGUGGAUAAAAAUCAUUGAAUACUAAGUAUAUGUUAUAUCAAAUUAUCAAUCACUAACAUUUAAAUAUUUUGUGAAGUAACAAAAAAAAAAUGUAUUGUUAAUGAGUGAAAAGAAAGAUCUUAAAAACGAUCCGUCGGGUGUGGCAUGUGCCACGUGGCGUACAAAAGAAAAAGACCGGGUAGAGUGUAUGUUUUUCCCACGCAAAAUGUUGGACCGUGUAAUAAAAACAUUUAAUUAAACCAUAUAAAUAAUUAAAUUAAAAACGAUUCAAAAGUAUGACGGAACGAUGACCACAUCUUCUGCAGUUAAACUGAAAAUGACAACAUCUUCUUCUUCUUCUUCCUCUGCAAUUAUGAUUAUGAACAUCUAUUGAUGAAAACGAGUUUCGCAUAUAUAUUACAAUCUUUUCUUGAUACAUAAAAGCUUCUGCAGGAUUUUGAUUGAAGAAGCUCUUCUCUUUACUCAUAUAUAAGUCAUGGAUGAAGAAGCAGCGAUCGAUCGUUUGCCGUUAGACCUUCUGGCUUAUAUAUUCUCGUUUGUUACUUCUUUCACCGUUUUGGCGCAGUAUGUGUUUCAUGAUCGUUUCAAAUUUUGAUCCUUUUUCAGUUCUUGUAAGAGAUUGAAGUUGUUUGUUGUCUUUUAGGGCAAGUGGGGUUUGCAAGAAAUGGAGGAAAGCUGUGAAUCAAUCGAUGGCGAGAAGAGAAUCUCUGAGCUUUGCUGGUUGGAGAAUGGACGACGAUUCUACUUCUCGUCUCGUUCACCUUGCUUACAACCUCAAAGAACUCGACAUGUAAUCUCUCUCUCUCCCUCUCUGUAUCUGCUUCUUCUUCUAUGAUCAAGUUUCCAGCUUUAUCUUCAGGGAGUUUGACUUGGUCAAAUACAAGCUCUGUUUUCUUCAUAUAGCUUCUGUUUUCAAUAUUUGUAGAUCUAGAAGCAGAUGGGGUUGUCAUAUUACUGAUAAUGGACUUCACCAGAUAGCUUCUGCAAGAUGUGUAGCCAAUCUAAACUCUGUCUCUUUAUGGGGCAUGACUGCCAUUACUGAUUCCGGUGUUGUUCAACUGGUAAUGUAAAUACUUUUUUCUUUAUAUGUGGAACUGGAAUCUUGAAUAUUUGUUCGUCACCUCAGAGAAUCUUGAAUUUUAUUUGACAGAUAUCAAGAACUUCUUCAUUGCAACACCUAAACAUAGGAGGAACUUUUAUAACCGAUGAGUCUCUUUUCGCCAUUGCAGAACGCUGCCAUCAUCUUAAGGUAACAAGGAUCAUCUAUAUCCAUCUACUUUUCUCUCUGGAAUCAUUAGAAUCACUUUCUGAAAUCGGAAUCCCUUAUUCAGACAAUCGGGAUGUGGUGUUGCCGCCAUGUGACAGAGAGAGGCCUUCUGGUUCUUGUAAACAAAUGCAGAAAACUUGAAUCCAUCAACUUAUGGGGAACUAGAGUUCCUGUGGAUUGCUUCAUUGCUUUACUUACUAUCAGUCCUGCACUUCAGAUCAAACCCAUUCAACUGCUCCUCAAUGCUCAGAAUCCUCCACCAUUGCUGCAUGCUGUCUAGUGUUGUUGUUCUACAUUUUACUUGCUUGUUGUGUACAUAGUAAUUCAUGAAAUUGAAUCCACAUAUAUAUUCUGUUCUCCCAUCAAUAACAUAUAUAAAAAUUAUUCAGUAAAGUUUCUAUUGGAGUAGAAUUGUGUCUAUAUAUAUAUAUAUAAGUUGCAUAACAUUCAACAGAAGCUGAAGACACACAUACAUAAGAUUUCUGCCUAUAACUCUGCAGUCUACAAUGCAAGAAUAAAAUCGGGCACGUUUUCUAAGGCAGCUCAUGUUUCCUGAACUUAGGAUCUCUCAUUCGUCCUAAAGAAGUGAUCAAGAUUCUCUAACCUAAGAAUCUCUCCAAAUGGUUUAAUUGGGUGUGUCAUAGUAGAAAAAUCAGCAAUGGAAGCCAUGAGAAGCAGAAGACAACAACGGUGUUUCGUGGAUAGACUGCAGAAGCUAAGGAUUUUGAGAACUGAACUGAACCUGAGUAGCUUCCACCUGAGUAACUUCCAGCUGUUGAAUCCAUGUUUGGAGUUCUUGUCUGUAGAGUAACAUUUUUGCAUGAACCAUAAGCUGCCCCUGGCUGUAACAUCAAGAACCAAAAUUCGGGUAGCCGUUUUAGAUGGUUUCAUAUCCGUAAGUAAUGUUAGCGCAAGUAGACAAGCUAUUACCUGGCAAGCCGCAAGAGUCUGACAGCCGCAAAGUACCGGUCCAUUCAUUCUAUCCAGAAUUUCAAAAACGCCGCCUCCAUCACUUCUCUGCAAUAUUAUGGUUUUGUUAGCAAAAUCUCGCAAAAACUGUCAUGUUUUAGUUUUAUGAUUGAUUCAAUACCAUGUAGAAGUUAACAGCUAGAAAGUUUGGCAUUCUAUUCCCUCCUGACUUGAGACAAGUCCCAACCAUCUCAGCAAGUGGAGCUGAGUGCUCCUUGCAAGCGUCUUUCUCAAUCGGAAUUGUCGGGAAGUAAUUCAUCAAGAAAAGCGAUGAACUUUUUGAGUUUAAAGGUUGUGACUCUUUUCUGUGAGGACAAGAACCUCGCUUCACCCCGGGAUCCCCAGCUUUACACAACAAUAAGAAAGUUGUAAGAGAAGAUUAUUCUCAGAGAAAAUUUAGAUAUCAAAGAUUUAAACUUUUUGUAAUAUACUCACACUCAUUUUCAACUAUGUAUCUCCAUUGAUAAGCUACACCUUCUUCAUCUUCUUUCGCAGCAACAGAAGUGAAAACCAGGAGUCUAUGAUUCUCUUGCACCAUAUCAGUCACAGUAGGCCAAUCUUCUCCCUUUUUGGGCAUUUUCGAAACAGGAAACCAGUAUUUGUCCAAACCAGCGUUCGCAAACAGAGUUGAUAAGCCUUUAGGCCUGUGCACAUAAUCUUCAAUUAUGAUAGUAACAAUCUCUGUUGGGUUCUGACUCAGAAAUGUCUCAACUUCCCUCAGUGUGUUAAUUGCAGGUUGCUGAUUCAAAAAGAAAACAAAUUUCACAUUAACCAAUCCAUUCGGGUUUCAACUUUCGAUCCAAACAGUUUAUUAGUUACGCUCAAGAAAUAUCUUACAAAAGCGGUGAAGUUAAAACAUUGCCCUCGAAGGGAAUGGCAAAGCCAGAUAUCGUUGUUGAAGUCAUACAUAUCCAGCAUUAGCCCUCUAACGCCAUUCUAGAGCAAAUAAAGAAAACAUAUUCAAGAGUUUUACCCAAGAAAGAGGAAUCCAAUAUAAGAGUUUGGAAAAUAAGGACAUUACUUGCAGCUGAUUAGUAAUGGUAUCUUCUUGAUUGUAAAAUGUAAUCCUCUCAACACCUGGCAAAGGCGGUGCAUUUGCAUUGCUAAAGGCAUUAUGAGUCAUCAACCAUGUAUACUUGUUAAAAGGCAAUCCAUUUAUCUACAACAGAAAACACAGAUUUCAUCACCACAAAGUUUGAACAAAUCUUCAGCAAGCAAAACCCAUCUUUAAGUUCAAAACUUUUGAUACAACCAAAUGAUCUACACCUUUUGCUACAACUAAUGAAAUCUUCAGCAAAAUCCAUCAUCAAAGUUCAAAACUUUUGAUACAACCAAAUGAAUUCUUCAGUAAAACCCAUCUUCAAAGUUCAAAACUUUUGAUAUAACCACAUGAUCUACACUAUUUUGAUAGAACCAAAUAAUAUUUUUAGCAAAACCCAUCUUCAAAGUUUAAAACUUGUGAUACAACCAAUUGAUCUACACUAUCUAUGAAAUACACAUUUUCAGACUGGAAAAUCAAAACCCAAUUAAAUGAAAAAAAAAACUAAAUCUUACAAUGGAAGUUGGACUUGUGGCUUGGCCUCUUGUGCAGACGGGUUUACUUCUCCCAACGGCAGGACAGUCUCCACAAUAUAAACCUGGGACACAAUCAGUGGCUGAGGAACAUGAAUCCAGCAUCUGAGAAGGACACACAGAAAAAAAUGCCAAAUCCCUAAAGAUUUAGACCCCAAUUUGAUAGCCAUAAACAGAGGAAUAAUAAGCAAAGAGAAUCAAGAACCUGGCAAUUUCCAUUAGAGCAAGCUGAGGAAAAAGAGAAGAAGAAGGAGAAGGGAAAAAGAUGUAGGAGAAGCGACACUGUUACGGCUCUGCAUAAGCCAUUGAUGCACGCCGACAUCGCUCCUUAGCUUAUGCAGAGAGAAAGAGACAAACAGAGAGAAAUCUGAGUGAUGUUCGAUCUACUGUAGUUGCUUGAGGAGGUUUUUCUAAGACAAGACAAAAGAGAUGUUUAGGUACUAAAACCCGGGCAUCAUUGAUAUGUUAAUCCUUGAAGAGAGGAACAAAAGAAACAGAUUAAGCAUCUUUUUUGUUUUUCUUUUCUUAGACAAAGGUUGAAUCUUUUUCCCACCUCUCCCAAAAGAGAAAAUGAAGAAACGAUUAGUAAAGAAGGUAACCCACUUGAUAAGUAAGAUUUAAGAAGAUAGCUCAAUUUAGAGCGACAAUUACCUUUUUAAAACAUUAUAAUAAACAACAGUAAUACAGUUUCUAGUGACUGUUUUGUCAAUACCUACUUGAAAUUUGUGGAAACAGUGUUUCUGCGGAAGAGUCUGUCAAAAAUUAGCAAUGAUGAUAUUAUUAUAUGUUGUUAAUAGUGAUAUAUAAUUGAUCUUUCUACAAAUGAUAUAGAGAUGUUGAUAAUAAUUAAUAAAUUAUAUACAAUUGCAUAAAUUAAAAUUUGUAUUCUUCAAUUCACCUAACCAAUAUAAUUGAUAUCUUUUUCUAAUAUGGCUAAACGUUACGGUGGUCACAUGCGUGGGGACACUCUUGUCUUGUUGCUUGUCUCUUUCUUUGCUUCUUUCAAGGGAAAAAAAAUGUCAUUAUUUUCAUAUGAUCACACAAAAGUUACUUCAACAUCUCACCAAUUUCUCUAUAUGGAAUAACCUUUAUAAUGUCUAGAUGAAACGAGGCGACAAAAAAAAAAAAAAAGAUGAAACUUUUAUCUACAUUAUCACCAUGCCUAAUUUGUCAUACAGAGACAUAUACGAAUCGACGACACUAGUGAGCUCUUUACAUAUCCAAUCUAAAAUAAUACGUGAUUUUGAGAGAAACCAAUAUUACAAUUUACAAAUCACUUCCAGUUAUAUAAAUCAAGUUUUUAUAGUUACUCUUGUGAUGUGUUUUUAAGAGACGUCUAAAAUGGGCAGAAGUCUAAUUAUCCUCUAGCGUCAGGCCCAUUUACGUAUUUAAUUGGAACUCGCUUCUGUUAAUUGGACCCAAAUGAUCUCUUUAAAGCCCAGAAGACUCAAGUAACGGUAUCAUCUAACUACCGGGAAAAACCAACUUUGCGUUUCUCGCUCCGGUUUAUAAAAAAAAAAAAAAAGGAAGCGUUACUUCAAAUGAUGUUGGAAAGCAGAAAUUUACAAAAAGACAGAAAUUAAUACAUUUAUUAGUUUUUGGCAUUAUAAAUGAUAGUUUCCAUUGAGAGUAAAUGCAAUUUAUAAAAUAAAGACAAUUUUAAUUAUAAAAAGUUAACUAUUAAUAAAGCAGGUUUUAAAACAAAUCUCCUUAGUCUAGCAAAGUUCCAAUUUGAUUAGCUGUCAAAGUAGUAUUUUCCUAGCAUCUGUGGACUCAAAUCUACCCAAAAAUGGUAAAUCGUUUGUCUUUUCCCCCUUUAAGUAGAUUUGUUAAAAACCAUUUUUAUCCUUAAAGUAGCUAAAAUCAUUUAAUCCAUGGGCAUGCAUGUGUGUAUAUGAAACUUGUAACUUAAUUUGGCAUUGUAUUUUUUUUCCUUUUAACAGAGGAGACACACAAGAUAUUGUUUUGUGGUGAUAAACGUCUUUUUUUCUUGUAUUAGUUUAUCAAAUUAAGACUAAUCCUGACCACUCAAGAAAUUUGCAUUUCAAGACAAGAGUUAAACCUAGUGUUACUUGUCAUUAUAAAUACUGUACAAGUUGAUUAGCACCUCCUUGUCACAUCAGGUAGAGUAAAUUUCUCCAAAAGUAUGGAUCAAGAGGGAGACGACAACAACAACAACUCUCGGAUCCCGGACGAGGGGGAGGAGGAGGUUGCUGAUAGCUCUUUUAGCUACCAAAGGCUUUUGCUUGACGACGACUGGGAACUUUGGGACACUUACCCAACUGCUGACGCUAAUGCCAUCCCACCAACAACUGAGUCUGAUUCACCUGACACUAACCCAACUGCUGACGCUUAUGCCAUCUCACCAACAACUGAGCCUGAUUUACGUCUAGUGGCACUUACUCGGGUAAUUAUCUUUUUUUUUUUCUUUUUUUUUUUUUGAGAGAGAGAGAGAUAGAGAGAAAUAAAGCUUUUGGAUAUAAUAGACUUGUGGAAAUUGUAUAGGUAGAAUUGAUCGAGGACUGGUUCAACUUAUCGAACCGUGAGCAAUCUCAAACAGCAUCAUCACUUAGCCAAGAUGUAUCCUCUCAUGAACUCAUCAUCGAGGUAUUUAUUUAUAUAUAUAUAUAUAUAUAUAUAUAUGCAUUAAAAUAUAUUUAGAGCUUAUGAAACAAUAUUAUCAGAACUAGGAUGAUAAACUAUUUACCCAAAACUUGAAAGAAAGAAAUAAAAAUGAUUUGUUUUCAUAUUUUGAUAUUUCGUAAAUUCUACGUUAUCAUUUGGCGCGUCUUUAUGUUUAGUUUUAAAUUUAUGUGUUUGCGAGGGAAAUUUUGAAUAUUGCCACUAUGAUUAAUACUGAAUCUAUGCAUCUUUUUAGAAGAAGUAGUGAAUAUUUUUGGUUUUUUGAGUAAAAGAAUUAUUAGAGUUUGUAUAAAGAAAAAAUUACUAAUGUAUUUUUUUUUUUUGAGAAAGAGAAAUAAAGCUUUUGGGUAUAAUAGAGUUGUGAAAAUUGUCUAGGUAGAAUCGAACAACGAGUGGAUCAGUGUGCACUAUGAAACAACAUCAUCGGCAGACGAAUAUGUAGAUUUUUUUUCUCACGAGAACAUCAUCCCAUACGAGGUAUUGUAUAUAUAUCUUAGCAUUAAAAUACAUUUAGAGCUUAUGAAACAAUAUUCACAAAACUAGGAUGGAAAACUAUUUACACAAAAUUCAAAAAAAAAAAGAUAAAAUUAUUUGUUUUAUAUAUAGAUAUUCUGUGAUAUCUACGUUAUUAUUUAGUGCGUCUUUUUGUUUGGUAUUUGAUUUUUGUGUUUGCGCAGCAAAUUUUGAAUACUGCUACUAUGAUUAAUAUUGAAUCUAUGGAUUUUUUUUUUGUUAAAUGAAGUGGUGAGUUACUAGCUUAGUAGUAACUUAGCUAUAAACUUGUAUCUUAGAACUUUACAGUUUUUUGGGAGAUAACAUUAAUUUUAAAUGCUUUUAGUGUUGGUAAUUUAGUCAGUUGUAUUUGUAUUUUCCAAAGAAUAACUUUCUUUGAUAAGGUUAUAUGUUCCAUUUUGGUUUCUUGAGUAAAAGAAUUGUUAAAGUGUAUACCUAAAAAUUUACUAAUGUUUUUUUUUUUAUCUUUUUGGAUAAAGAGAAAGAAAGCUUUUUUAAUAUAAUAGACUUGUGGAAAUUGUAUAGGUAGAAGUGAUCGAGGAUUGGUUCCGCCCAUGGAACAGUGAGGCGCAAUCCGAAACAGCUUCAUCAUCAGACGAAUAUGUAUUCGUUGUACCCUCUCAUGAAGACGUCAUCGCGUACGAGGUAUUGCAUAUCUAUCUUAGCAUUAAAAUAUAUUUAGAGCUUAUGAAAACAAUAUUCGUGGAAUUAGGAUGGGAAAAUAUUUACACAACACUUUAGAAAAAAAAUUGAAAUGUUAUAUUUUUUAAAAAAUUUCCUAGGCACAAAUUUUCAAUCGCCCACAAAAUGUAAGAGAAGGUGUCAACGCUGGGCUAACCGUUGAAGUCACUGAUGAGAACGUAAGAAGAAGGAUGUAUGAAAACAGCAGUGAUGAAUCGGAGAUAUGUGUGAUCUGUCAGGACAAGUUGAAGCAAGGUGAAGAAGCUUCGAAACUGGAUUGUGGGCAUGACUAUCACUUCGGAUGCAUCAGGGACUGGCUAAUGGUCAGGAACAAGUGUCCUCUUUGCAACCAGCCAGUUGUUUAAUUGUUUUAUUAGGGUAGAAACAUGUCAAGCUUGACUUGAUUUCUUAUUUCUGACUGCCCAUUGCUUUGCUUUUUUAAUUUUCCCUUGGGAUGCUUUAUGUAGUUUUCCCCUUCGGACCCUCUUUCAUUUUCUUUUUUAUGUUAAACAUAAUCUUCCGAAAUGCAUGCAGUUUUAAGUUUAUUAUCGCCCAAGACGGACGUUUCUUACCUGUGGACGACACUGGACAACAAAAACAAAAAGAAAAAAAAAAGAUUUAAGUUUUUUUUUUUUUUCUGUAAUAAUUUGUCAAAAAUGGUGAAACUGGUGCAAGACCUUACUUUUCAAGUAAUUGUCCUUUUUCAUGUUUAGUCGUAAUAAUAAUUAAAUAGUAUACUUUAUGACUAUCAAUGCUCUAUCUUAUCAAUACACUUGUUCAACCGUUUCAUUUACUAAAAUGGUUAAAUAUCUUUAUCUAUAUUUUACUUAUCACAUUGAAAGAAAACCAAAAAGAAAAUAAUUUUUUUUUUACUUUUUUCUACUUUUUUUUUUCCUUUUUUUACAUUUAUUUUUCCUUUUUUUUUUUUACUUUUAGUCCAUAAUAAUGUUUUAAAAAUAAUAACAUUUUACUUUUUUUUUUUCCUUGUUUAAAUUGGGUAAAAAAUCUAGUCAGUUCAUAGUUUGAUUUUAACUAUAUAGUUGUGUGAAGUAAAUACAAAAUUACAAAGGGAACUAUUCACAACAUAAGUGAUGUGAGUGAGACACCAGAUUAUGUCUAUAGGGAUUCGGCACGCCACUCACUCUUUAAAGCCCUCACGCGCUUCUCCUAUGGGCGUGUUCUCACGCACCUACCUCCCCGCCUAUAAUAAACCUUUUACUACGAAAAGCCACACAGUGUAGUAAACAGAGAGAGAGAGAGAGAGUUAUGGGUGAUUCUGACGUUGGUGAUCGUCUUGCUCCUGCAUCUUCUUCCGACGAACUCUCGAGCUUUCUCCGACAGAUUCUUUCCCGUGCUCCGACAGCUCAUCCUUCUUCACCACCCAAGACAAGUGUUUCCUCCGGUGAGACCUUCCCUUCCGUCGGUAAUGGAGUCGCUGAAACUAGCCAAGACAAAUACGCUUUCGAAAACAAGGUUAACUUGCUUUUUUUAGUUGCCAAGAAACUUCAAUGGCUUUGGUUGAGAAAGAAAACAAAACCAAAAUUUGUGUUUCUUUUUUUUUUUCUUUUGUAUGUAAUGUAAUGGGUAACACUGAAGAGAAAUGGAGGCAGACAGAAAAAUUCGUUGAAGAGAAACAUGGAUGCACACUUCCACAACUUGUCUGAAAAGGUUUCUUCUUUUUAUCCUUUCAAGAUUCCUAUUUUGAAAUGAAAGAAAACAAACAGCCUAACUAAUUGAGAGAUUUUAAUAACUAGAUGUUGUUUUUUUUUUUUUUUGCAGAAGAGGAGGAGCAAGAUCAACGAGAAAAUGAAAGCUUUGCAGAAACUCAUACCCAAUUCCAACAAGGUAUGAAAGAUGUUCGAAUCAGAGAUGUGAGAAACAGUGUUGUGUUUUGAUUUUAUUUUUUUCUUCUUCUUUUGUUUGUAGACUGAUAAAGCCUCUAUGCUUGAUGAAGCUAUUGAAUAUCUGAAGCAGCUUCAACUUCAAGUGCAGGUUCUCUAAUUACUUGCUUAGAUCAUAUACUAUCAAUGUCUGAUUUGCAAAAGCCAUCAUCUGAACAUAACUUAAUACCUGCUUAAUGCAGACUUUAGCCGUUAUGAAUGGUUUAGGCCUAAACCCAAUUCGGUUACCACCGGUUCUACCUCCAACACAGACAUUGAUCAAUGAGACCUUAGAGCAAGACCUGAACCUGGAGACUCUUCUUGCUGCUCCUCACUCCCUAGAAAUACCUCAAGCAAGCCAAGAAAUGUGCUUUUCCGCAGCCACUCUGUUUUGAAGAUAACAUUCAGAGACAGUGAUGAUGAUCCGGCGUCAAACUGGUCAGACUUCCUCUAGUUUGUGCCAGACGCAGGAGUCCAAAUGUUUUUUAGUUAUAGUAUUUGCCAGUUUUCAAUGUUCAGUUAUAGUAAUGCUAAUAAUGGGCUUUAGGAAUGAACAAAACUGAGUAGUUUGAUUAUAAUGAUGUCUGAAGAAGAUUAUAUAAAAGAUUAAUUUAGUUACAUGAGAUGAGUAUUACAACUAUCAAAUUGUUAUGUCUGUGAGUUGCAGCCAUCCAUAAUCACACCGGUCUCUAAUACUUCUAGUGAUGGCUGCUGCAGAUUCAACCGCAGGUCUUAUCUUAGUCAUUGCUUUCUCUACUUGAAUCCUCAUGCCAACAUCCAUCUGUUAUUUCAAAUGGCAGCCAUAACUUUAGGGAUAUAGACAAGAAAAAUUGAUGAGAAAGUUGUAAAGUAGAAACCUUUUCUAGAGAAUGUUGUGUGUCUAAGAUGUGGCAGAAGUACGACAGUUGCUUGUACAAGUCUGCUUCAGUGUACUGUAAUAAGACAAGGCUCAAAGUCAAGAGUUAGUCUGUGAAGCAAUAGAGAGAUAGGAGUUAUAAGGCUGAUGAGAGCGUAUACCUUUCUUAAGAGGGUUCCGUUACAGUUAGGAUAGUUUGGGCAAACUGUCCCCCGUUCACGUUCACCAAGCAAGCGGAAGUUGGGGGAGCGGGUCGUGUGCUUGCAAGACUCAUCAUCACACUGUUGAAGGCAUAAUGUACAAGAAAACGUCAUCAGCAUAACUUAAUAAAAAUUAAUGUUCAGAAUUACGGGAAAAAACGACGACAGAAGCUUUUACAUACCACCAUUAUGCCUUUGUAAUACAUUGACACAAAUCCAUCAAUCUGUCUUUUCACCUGAAAGGCAUGAGAAUGAUUUAAUAACUAAAGCAUCUGUCCUGCAGGCCAAAUCCUAACAAUAGAAGUUUUUUAUAUUCUGAGAAAAGUAACAUAUUAGUAUCCUUUUCAACAAAGUUUGACUACCUGGUUAGCUAUCAUAGCAGGGGAUAUUCUUCCAUUGCUAUCUUCCUGCUGACAUUUCGGGCAAUGCAGUUUAAGCCAGAAUGAGGAAUCAGAUUUCUCUGUUUCAGGUGUCACAGGUCUCUUACUAAUCGACGCACAAACAGAACUAGUAAUAGAUGGACAGUUGAAAGCAGUAGAGCAGCUGGGGCAUGUUAAGGCUAACGGCUCACAGCUUUUAUAUCUGCAUUUUUUACAUGUAAAUUACGUUGUUGGGGAUCUGAGUUCUAGGAAUAUUGCAAAUUCGUGGAGAAAAUAUAUGAUAACAGAUUACAAAUGGUAAAGAUAUCUCUACCUUUCUUCAUCGCUUGUAGCAAAUAAGAGGGAGUUAGAAGGAUCACUGCUCGCAGCAUCGUUUGAUUUACUUCGGUACUAGAAGAAAACAUUAUUUCCAAUCAGUUAUCAUGAAAUCACUGAAUAUGAAUCGAUAGUAUGCUUGAAUGAAAACUGUUUUACCUUUGAUGGGUCAAGUCCUAAACAUUCGGCUAGACGCUCAGGACUUGUUCCUUGAAUCUCUGCGCAUAGACGAGACACCACCGGAUGAAUCUGUUGUGCCAAGUAGUAAUCUAUGUCAACCAACCAUCUGCUGCCGUCUGAUUUCACCUCAUCAGGAUGCCUAGCACGCUCGGCAAUCCCUGCUGAACUGGCAGAGCUAGCAUUACCCUGCACCGAGGAAGCAUAAAAGACUUAGUAGGAAACCUAUAGGGUAUCUGAUAAUAAGUAGCUGGUCUUCUGAAUUGGAAACCUGUUCAUAGCAGAUUAUAUAUGGUACAGUAUCCUUAGCAUUGAAACCUUCUUUAUAACCACGUUGCCUCAUUCUGAGUGCAACCUGUGAAGAAUAAUUUGCCCACACAAAUCAGAAAGUUAAAUU
rnacentral:lncRNA from 1 species